UACAGAGGGGGCAAGCGUUGUUCGGAAUUACUGGGCGUAAAGGGCGCGUAGGCGGCCCGCUAAGUCGAACGUGAAAUCCCCGAGCUCAACUCGGGAACUGCGUCCGAUACUGGUGGGCUUGAAUCCGGGAGAGGGAUGCGGAAUUCCAGGUGUAGCGGUGAAAUGCGUAGAUAUCUGGAGGAACACCGGUGGCGAAGGCGGGUCUCUGGGCAACAACUGACGCUGAGGAGCGAAAGCGUGGGGAGCGAACAGG
rnacentral:rRNA from 1 species